CCUACGGGUGGCAGCAGUGGGGAAUAUUGCACAAUGGGGGAAACCCUGAUGCAGCGACGCCGCGUGAGUGAAGAAGCAAUUCGUUGUGUAAAGCCCUAUCAGCAGGGAAGAAAAUGACGGUACCUGAGUAAGAAGCCCCGGCUAACUACGUGCCAGCAGCCGCGGUAAUACGUAGGGGGCAAGCGUUAUCCGGAUUUACUGGGUGUAAAGGGAGCGUAGACGGCAGUGCAAGUCUGGAGUGAAAGGCGGGGGCCCAACCCCGGGACUGCUCUGGAAACUGUACGGCUGGAGUGCAGGAGGGGCAGGUGGAAUUCCUAGUGUAGCGGGGAAAUGCGUAGAUAUUAGGAGGAACACCAGUGGCGAAGGCGGCUUGCUGGACUGUAACUGACGUUGAGGCUCGAAGGCGUGGGGAGCAAACAGGAUUAGAUACCCGUGUAGUC
rnacentral:rRNA from 1 species